ensembl:snoRNA F32B4.12 ncRNA
GUGGAAAUGCAUAAUUUAGCUUUUCGUUCCCCAGCAUAAAAAUUCCCCCUAAGCUCAAUUACCAGAUUGAUUGGCGAAAAUGGGAGCUAGAAUGCUCAAAAAUGCUCAAAAUUGUCUCAAAACUCCUAU